rnacentral:rRNA from 1 species
UUAGGAAAUGUAAGUUUGAUAAUACCAGAUUUACUUGACAAAGGCUCCAAAGGAAGCCACGGCAAACUCUGUGCCAGCAGCCGCCGUAAUACAGAGGUGGCGAGCGUUGUUCGGAAUUAUUGGGCGUAAAGAGCACGUAGGUGGAUUUGUAAGUCAGAUGUGAAAGCCUUCUGUUCAACGGAAGAAUUGCAUCUGAAACUACAAACCUUGAGUAUAGGAGGGGAGAGUGGAAC